rnacentral:rRNA from 1 species
CAGUCGAGCGGAUGAAGGGAGCUUGCUCCUGGAUUCAGCGGCGGACGGGUGAGUAAUGCCUAGGAAUCUGCCUGGUAGUGGGGGAUAACGUCCGGAAACGGGCGCUAAUACCGCAUACGUCCUGAGGGAGAAAGUGGGGGAUCUUCGGACCUCACGCUAUCAGAUGAGCCUAGGUCGGAUUAGCUAGUUGGUGGGGUAAAGGCCUACCAAGGCGACGAUCCGUAACUGGUCUGAGAGGAUGAUCAGUCACACUGGAACUGAGACACGGUCCAGACUCCUACGGGAGGCAGCAGUGGGGAAUAUUGGACAAUGGGCGAAAGCCUGAUCCAGCCAUGCCGCGUGUGUGAAGAAGGUCUUCGGAUUGUAAAGCACUUUAAGUUGGGAGGAAGGGCAGUAAGUUAAUACCUUGCUGUUUUGACGUUACCAACAGAAUAAGCACCGGCUAACUUCGUGCCAGCAG